rnacentral:misc_RNA from 1 species
UUCUCUUCCUCUUCCUCUUCCUCUUCUUGUUGGUUCAUUUCUUUACCAACCCAAUCCCUCUCAGCCACACCCAACCUCUGCUGCUCUGCCCUAAUCUUAGAAACCAAAAUAGCCUCCUCAGACCUCCUCAUCAACGUCUCAGACCACCGCUCCCCCGGCCUCGCCAUGCCUCUGGCACUCUGAUCCUGAAACUUACCCACAAACUCGUGAUGCAAAUAUGGCUCUCUCUCCCUCAUAGCAUCCUCAGAGAAGUAGGUGCCGUCAUGUAUCAAUUUAUUCAAGUAAGCGAGCCUCCUGUUCUUGACCUUCACCGACCUUGAUUUCAACUCCUCAGAAGUUGGACUCACUUUGCUUCUCAGAUUCUUGAGGUGCCAAUUUAUCUCGUAGUCAUUGUCUAGCAUAUCGAAUUCCUCAAGCUCUUCCCAUGUCAAUUUCGCUCCAUAUCUCUCUAGGAAAACGGCGGCGUCUCUGGAGAGGAGGUCAACGAGAAGAGACUUGCGGUGGGAGGGAUUAGUGGCGUUGGAUUGAAGAGCACGAGGGAAGUAGAGAUUUUCCAUCGCCGAUAGCCUCUCUGUAAUGCUCUCCAUUGCUUCUUUCCUCACUGUUCCCUGCAUUUUGUUUCUCUUUUUUCUGUCCCCCUUUCCUCUACUGGGCUUUCUCUCCGUUCUAUAUUUUUACGCUUCGCCAGUCUCGUUUGUGUCGGCCAAGGCCAUGCCGGUCAUAAAUUCUG